rnacentral:misc_RNA from 1 species
CGACCUCGAGCGCAGCUUGGUGUUGAGGACUGUCGCUCUCGCGGCAUCCUUUAAAAGCAUUGGCGGCAGCGCAGCUCAAUCGCAACAAAAUGCGUGCAAAGCUGCCAACUGCCCGCCAUAACGCACCCCUUCCGGGGUUUUUACCAGC